rfam:Yangia sp. CCB-MM3 chromosome 1, complete sequence.
GGCCACCUUCGGGGGGCUAAACUCCGGCACACCCGAUACGCGGGUGCUGUCGCAUUACAACGGAAGACAGAAA